rnacentral:rRNA from 1 species
UACAGAGGGGGCAAGCGUUGUUCGGAAUUACUGGGCGUAAAGGGCGCGUAGGUGGCCAACUAAGUCAGACGUGAAAUCCCUCGGCUUAACCGGGGAACUGCGUCUGAUACUGGAUGGCUUGAGUUCGGGAGAGGGAUGCGGAAUUCCAGGUGUAGCGGUGAAAUGCGUAGAUAUAUGGAGGAACACCGGUGGCGAAGGCGGCAUCCUGGACCGACACUGACGCUGAGGAGCGAAAGCCAGGGGAGCAAACGGG